AUGAACGCUGGCGGCGUGCCUAAUCCAUGCAAGUUGAGCGAACGGACGAGAAGCUUGCUUCUCUGAUGUUAGCGGCGGACGGGUGAGUAACACGUGGAUAACCUACCUAUAAGACUGGGAUAACUUCGGGAAACCGGAGCUAAUACCGGAUAAUAUUUUGAACCGCAUGGUUCAAAAGUGAAAGACGGUCUUGCUGUCACUUAUAGAUGGAUCCGCGCUGCAUUAGCUAGUUGGUAAGGUAACGGCUUACCAAGGCAACGAUGCAUGGCCGACCUGAGAGGGUGAUCGGCCACACUGGAACUGAGACACGGUCCAGACUCCUACGGGAGGCAGCAGUAGGGAAUCUUCCGCAAUGGGCGAAAGCCUGACGGAGCAACGCCGCGUGAGUGAUGAAGGUCUUCGGAUCGUAAAACUCUGUUAUUAGGGAAGAACAUAUGUGUAAGUAACUGUGCACAUCUUGACGGUACCUAAUCAGAAAGCCACGGCUAACUACGUG
rnacentral:rRNA from 1 species